UCAAUUGUCAACAUAACUUUUUCUAUAGUGGAUGUUGUUUACUGCGAAACGUAUGUAAGUUAGAAUAUAUGUCCUGCUCACUAUUGAAAUUAAGUUAAUAACGAAUGUUUAGAAGCAAAACAGUCUAGCGUAGCCGACCACACACUCCUCAAAAACGUUACUUUUCUGUAGGCUACUAUUACAACCACCAAAUAUUGAUUUCAAGCGCCGGAACAUGGACAAAUGUCCCGGAUAUCAAAGCUGAAUGUUGUUUUAAGCACCUGUUGCGCAUGGAAUCUACCAAUAAGAGUUGGCUCGGGUGAGUGAUGGACCUGUCAGACCCUGAGGAGCAUUUACUCCACUAUUCCGAGAUAAGAAGCCUGUCUCUUAUCCAGUGGCUUCUGCAGCUCAGGCUUGAGCAAGAUCUCAGACUCAACAUCAAUUGCAGAGAUACCCUUUACCUCAAUGUAUUCUAAUGUAUAUUGGGCGUCAGGUAGCCUAGUGGUUAGAGCGUUUGGGGCAGUAACUAACUGAAAGGUCGCUGGUUCGAAUACCUGAGCCAUCAAGGUAAGACCAAGGCCAGUGCAGGUUGGAUACCUCUACAUCUGGCCUGCUACUUUGGACACAAAGAUGUUGUGGAGGUGUUACUCAAGGAUGGUGCUGAUGUGAAUUUGCAGAAUAACAUGGGGGACAAGCCUCUACACAAAGCUGCCUUCACAGGAAGAAAGCUGCAGAGAUAAGCGCGGAGAGGAGGCAGGAGGAGAAGCUUCUGGAGGCGGACAGAGAGGGAUACAUCUUCAGCCUGUCACAGCUGUUCAGCAUCUGAUCAUCCCUGACCCUCCACUGAACCUCUCAACCUCAGGGUGGAGUAGAGUAGUAGCCUGGGUUUGGGCUGACAGCCCAAAUGUUCUUCUUGAUGAUUAACACUGUAUGUCAUGUUACAUUUCAUCUUACAUUGUCAUCAGCUUGGUUAAUGACUUUGCAAUUGAAGAGGUCAACCUAGUCCUUCCAUAGAGGAUGCAAGAUUCUGCCACAAAAACUUGUUUGGUUCUAUACAAAUUUAGUUUGCACAUUUAUCAAUUGCUUGCAUGCGGAGUUAACUUACAUGUGUCAUGCAUGUUAAGUGAAUGUAUAGACACCAUGUGCGUAAUUCAUUCAUUCACUUUUGUUGUCUUACCUUUCUCAGCUCAGCAAGAAGCGGCCUCCAGACAUCCACUGUAGAGACCGGCAGGGGAACACGCCAUUACACUGUGCUGCCUACAGGGGGCAGAAGCAGCGUGUCGGAAAGAUGCUCAAGUCGAGCCAGCCCCAGGAUCAAGAACUAGCGCUAUGUAGCAACUGAUAUGUCCACUGAGGAAAUGAAGCACAUUAUUUUUAUAACCAUGAUACACCUUUUUAAUAAAUAUUAAAUAGGCUUGUGACUUGCAUGUUUGCAUGGAUAUUACUUUACGAAGAGCCUGGAUGCAGUUUCAAGUCACUUGCAUUUCAUAAUGUGUAAAACAGAGGUGUAUAGAUUUAGCCUAACAUUUACAAAACAAAAUCUACUUAGUUGGUGUCUAUGAUCGAGUCCCAAAUGACACCCUGUUCCCUACAUAGUGCACUACUUUUUUUUUACCAGAGCCCUAUUCUCCCUGGUCAAAUGUAGUGCACUAGAAUAGGGUGCCAUUUGGGAUGCAGAGUAUGUGGUGUAUUCACUGCCUACCUCCCUGUCAGCUAGCAGGAGGUCAUUAAUAACUGAUUGAUAAAUGGCUAUGUUCUGUUUUAGACCAAACUGUUUUUGACCUGGCCUGCAGUGAGGAGAUUAAGCAGAUUCUGGUGGGCAGUCAUGACAAGGAUAUGACUUGUUGUGCCAAAGUUUGAAGGCAUACUAUGGAAGAGUUCCCGUUUUCUGGGAUGGCAUUCCUAUUUGGUGGUCAUUCAAAACGGGGAUCUAUCCUAGUAUCCUAGACAAGCUGAUGCAGUGGCUGGUGUCCGGAAGCAAGGCUCUAAGACUCUGAUGAAAGCUCACUGCAGGGUUCAAGCAUGGGACUAGUUUUUCUUCAGCCUCCAGUGCUUUGAUCAGUCUCCAUCACUUUAAGGUGUCAUCCAAGACAGAUCCAGAGGCUAUAAGAAAAAGAUGGCUGGAUGCCCUGGAGGAGCAUGUGGCCUACAGCAGCCGUCACUCUACCCAGGAGCAGACAGAUGAGGAGGGUGAUGAAGAUGGAUCUUGGCGACCUCAGACUCCCUCCAGGUGUCCUUUGUGUUCCUGAUUGGAGGUCGUUGGGGUGUCCCA